rnacentral:miRNA from 1 species
UUUAUAGAAUAUGUAUGUAA